GCGUUCGGACGUACGCACCCAACCCCUGUGACAUACCUAUACGUUGCCUCGGCGGAUCAGCCCGCGCCCCGUAAAACGGGACGGCCCGCCCGAGGACCCCUAAACUCUGUUUUUAGUGGAACUUCUGAGUAAAACAAACAAAUAAAUCAAAACUUUCAACAACGGAUCUCUUGGUUCUGGCAUCGAUGAAGAACGCAGCAAAAUGCGAUAAGUAAUGUGAAUUGCAGAAUUCAGUGAAUCAUCGAAUCUUUGAACGCACAUUGCGCCCGCCAGUAUUCUGGCGGGCAUGCCUGUUCGAGCGUCAUUUCAACCCUCAAGCUCAGCUUGGUGUUGGGACUCGCGGUAACCCGCGUUCCCCAAAUCGAUUGGCGGUCACGUCGAGCUUCCAUAGCGUAGUAAUCAUACACCUCGUUACUGGUAAUCGUCGCGGCCACGCCGUAAAACCCCAACUUCUGAAUGUUGACCUCGGAUCAGGUAGGAAUACCCGCUGAACUUAAGCAUAUCAAAAGCGGGAGGAA
rnacentral:rRNA from 1 species